CACGAACGACUCUCGGCAACGGAUAUCUCGGCUCUCGCAUCGAUGAAGAACGUAGCGAAAUGCGAUACUUGGUGUGAAUUGCAGAAUCCCGUGAACCAUCGAGUCUUUGAACGCAAGUUGCGCCCGAAGCCACUAGGCAGAGGGCACGUCUGCCUGGGUGUCACGCA
rnacentral:rRNA from 1 species